rnacentral:rRNA from 1 species
ACGCUCGACACCUACGGGGGGCAGCAGUGGGGAAUAUUGCACAAUGGGGGAAACCCGUGAUGCAGCGACGCCGCGUGGAGGAAGAAGGUCUUCGGAUUGUAAACUCCUGUUGUUGGGGAAAAAGAGGAUGGUACCCAACAAGGAAGUGACGGCUAACUACGUGCCCGCAGCCGCGGUAAUCUGAGCGGGCUGGCAAGGC